CCUACGGGAGGCUGCAGUGAGGAAUAUUGGUCAAUGGACGAGAGUCUGAACCAGCCAAGUAGCGUGAAGGAUGACUGCCCUAUGGGUUGUAAACUUCUUUUAUAUGGGAAUAAAAUGUUCCACGUGUGGGAUUUUGUAUGUACCAUAUGAAUAAGGAUCGGCUAACUCCGUGCCAGCAGCCGCGGUAAUACGGAGGAUCCGAGCGUUAUCCGGAUUUAUUGGGUUUAAAGGGAGCGUAGGUGGAUUGUUAAGUCAGUUGUGAAAGUUUGCGGCUCAACCGUAAAAUUGCAGUUGAAACUGGCAGUCUUGAGUACAGUAGAGGUGGGCGGAAUUCGUGGUGUAGCGGUGAAAUGCUUAGAUAUCACGAAGAACGCCGAUUGCGAAGGCAGUUCACUGGACUGCAACUGACACUGAGGCUCGAAAGUGUGGGUAUCAAACAGGAGUAGAUACCCUAGUAGUC
rnacentral:rRNA from 1 species